rnacentral:tRNA from 1 species
AUGUUCGUAGCUCAAAGGAUUAGAGCGUUAGACUACGGAUCUAAAGGUUGAGAGUUCAAAUCUUUCCGGACAUA